CAGCAGCCGCGGUAAUACGUAGGGUGCGAGCGUUAAUCGGAAUUACUGGGCGUAAAGCGUGCGCAGGCGGUUGUGUAAGACAGGUGUGAAAUCCCCCGGCUUAACCGGGGAAGUGGCACGGAUACGACCGGCCUGGAGGGAGGUAGGGGGGCCUGGAACUUCCGGUGGAGCGGUGAAAUGCGUUGAGAUCGGAAGGAACGCCCGUGGCGAAAGCGAGGCCCUGGACCUUUUCUGACGCUGAGACGCGAAAGCCAGGGGAGCGAACGGGAUUAGAUACCCCUGUAGUCCCUGUCUCUUAUAA
rnacentral:rRNA from 1 species